GUGGUUAGUUGCCAGCAAGUAGCGUUGGGCACUCUAGCCAGACUGCCGGUGAUAAAUCGGAGGAAGGUGGGGACGACGUCAAAUCAUCAUGCCCUUUAUGUCCUGGGCUACACACGUACUACAAUGGCCGUUACAACGGGAAGCGAAGGAGCAAUCCGGAGCAAAUCCCUUAAAGGCGGUCCCAGUUCAGAUUGUGGGCUGAAACUCGCCCACAUGAAGGCGGAAUUGCUAGUAACUGCAGAUCAGCAUGCUGCAGUGAAUACGUUCCCGGGCCUU
rnacentral:rRNA from 1 species